rnacentral:lncRNA from 1 species
AUGCUCUGGUCUGGCACUGGGCCUACGAGAAGCACGAGCGGCGAGAGCCGGGACGCCCUGAACUUUCCCCUAGGCCGGGCCUUUACGCAGAAGCGUCAUUGCCCUGGUGACGUGACGUCCUUCCUCAGGAUUGUGCGCCGGGGUGGGGAAACAGAUGUACAACCGCCAUUUUGCGCAUCAAUUCACCAGAGGUCGGGUCAGGUUGUCUUAACGCAGGCAGAGGGGUGUGGCAGGGCUCCAACCGCUCGGGGUCCCGCGACUUCCAUUAAUGAAUUCGCACACUGGCCGUCACCACUCAACACGCCGACGAUACUCUGUCCAGAGGAAAAGUGUAGUUUGUUGAAAGCGUGUGGAAGAAAACCCCGGAUAUACAUAUACUUGUCUUCAAGGACCUAAUUUGCAGAUCUUAUGCAUUGCACAAAGUGAGAAUACUUGGUUGCAAGUGACCGAAAUUCAACUCCUCCAAAAAGGAUUUAUUGGUUCAUGUAAUUGCGAAGUGCAAGAGUGCAUCUUAAGGCAAGACUGCAUCUGGAGACUCAAAUACUGCUGUCAAGACUGUCUCUCCAACUCUUUGUUUGCAUUGCUUUAUUCUUCUAGAGUCUCUCCUAGUGGCUGACAAAUGGCUGCCAAACUCAAAUCUCCCAGUUAAGCAAUCGCAAUGGAGGAAAUAAACCAAAUAACUCUCUACCGAUGUCCAUAUCUCAAUUUCAGGUUCUGUGUGCAUGCUCCUAUGAUUAGCAGCCCCAGCACUAAUGCAUAGAGGAGAUAUUUCCCAAAGGAUUCUGAAGAAAGCGGGGUGGGAACAUUAGGCAGAAAAGAACAAUUCCCAUAGUCUAUUGUACCAAUGUUUCCCCACUUCAUAGUGAAGCAACUUUUUAAAACAUUCUGGAUACAUUACAAAUCAAUGUUUCUGUCCAUUUAAAAUCAUUUAAUGCACUACAUGUUUGUCUCUUUUUGGCUGUGCAACAUUUGAAUCCCUGUCCUUUCUGGAAUUUGCCACUGUGAGAGCCUUAGUGGGAAGGCAGGCCACAUCCCCCAUCACAGAUGUUAAAUAAUACAUAUGCUUUUAUUUAUUUUUUUGCUGUGAAUGUAUUAUUAUUGUUAUAUUUCUUAUUAUACUUUAGUUCUGGUGCAGGUUUCUUAUAUAGGUAUCCAUGUGCCAUGGUGGUUUGUUGCACCCAUCAACCCAUCAUCUACAUUAGAUAUUUC